GGACAGUGCAGGUGCCUGGAGUAGGCUGGGCUGAGGUGGGUGACAGCUGUCUGUGGCACUGCCAGCGGGGAGAGAGCUGAGUGUCUGCCCCACUGGAGCGGGGUGCGAGCCCCACAAAGGCCUGUCUUCUUCAUGGUGGAAUUUGCCUCGGUGCCCAGAUCUGGUGGCUCAAGAGAAAGACUGAGACUCUCUGGAGUGUCCUUGUGAGUCACCUGGAACCGACACUGGAUGACAGGGACGUCUGCUACAUCAAGCUGUGGCCACCGUCCACCUGCGGAACAUUUUCACCUCGUAAAACGGAAGCUCCUCGUUAAGCGCUCCAAGGAUUUUUGCGAAGAGAUUGGAGACUGUGGCAGCAUUUCUACAAGGCUUCUGAAGUGUGGAAGGCACCUGCUGGUUCCAGGGGAAGAAACCAGCACUCACAGAUUAUCUGUAUCUGUAAGAAGUUGGCAGUGAGUAGAAGAGGGAGGG